CGGUCCAGUAGGCGAGUUCGGCCUGCCAGGCGGGGUCCGCGGCCUCGCUGCGCUGCGCGUGUUCGGUGGCGGCGGCCAGUUCGAGGACCUGGUCGGGUCGC
rnacentral:tRNA from 1 species